UGAUCUACGUCGCCAUCUGCGGCGUGCCCUUCGCCGUGCUCAUUGUCCUGCCCGUCUGGCUGGGGAUGCGCGCGGUGCGCCGCCGCCGGCUGGCCGCCAAGAGCAAAAUGGCAGUGGCCGAGGCGGUCGACGAGAUCAAGACGGAAUAGAAGGUCGAGGCUUAACGCAAAGGGCCGAGAAAUAGUUUUCGGCCCUUUGCUCGUUUGUGGAGAGCGGCUUGUCAAGAAUGAGAUCCAUCGGGUGGUAAAUGGUUUGUAGUUCCACGAAGAAUCUACUGGCAAGUCAGCACCUAAUUCUUAUGCUUCCGAUAUCUUUCCGUCUUUCCGCCUUUGCGUCUUUGCGUUAAAGGGAACCCUUGAUGAGCGAAGCUCAGAGCCUCCAGGAAACCGGAUCGCGGCUAUACCGCGAGGGCCAAUUCGACGAGUCGGCGG
rnacentral:misc_RNA from 1 species